AUGGUGGAAUAAAUUCCUACUUAUGUUUAAUAUUCUCUUAAAUUAACUAGCAUUACACCAUCUGGGGUAUGUAGGGGAUUUGGAUAAACGUUGUGUGGUGAUAAAUAAUGAGUUCUCUUCGCUUUUUUGACUUUGAGUUAUCUCAGCUACAAUUAGACUGUCGUCAUAUAACAUUUGAGUACCCGGCUAACAUAUUUCAUACAUCUGUAAAGCAAUUUCUAACUGGUUAAGUAAUGUUCAACUCCUUAUAGCUUAAACAACAAACCCUUAAUCCCUUGUACUACAACUGAACUGAACGACAUAAAUACCCCUAAACCCAAAACCUUCAUAUAAUCCUAAACCCUAAGACCAAAACACUAAUCCUAAACUCUAAUCCCUAAACCCUUAUAUAAACCAUUAAUACAUCUAAACCCUAAACCCUUAGACCUAAACACUAAACCAUAAACCCUAAGACCUAAACACUAAACCCUAAACCUUAAACCAUAAACCCUAAUCCCUAAACUGUUAUAUAAACCAUUAAUACAUCUAAACACUAAACUCAAUACCCUAAACCUUAAAUCCUGAUAUAAUCAUGAACCCUGGACCCAAAAACCUAGACCGAAGACGCUAAACCCAAAUCCCUAAACCCUAAUCCCUAAACCCUUAUAUAAUCAUAAACGAUAAACCCUAAACCCUUAUAUUACCCGUAUCCCCACCACCAUAACAAUCUAAAUAUAAGGCUAACUUCAUCUCCCAACAAGCUAUCGUUAGGCUAGGAUGAUCAAUAGGUUAUGCUGCCUGCUAAUCCAGAUCGUAGCCGGGAAGCUCAAUACUUUAGCGCAUUAAUGCUAUUAGUAGACUUUAAACCUCGUUAGACGGCUAAACAUAAGUUUUUAGUAGACAUUGCAGUAAACCUAAACCAUGUACAGACUAUGAACCCCAAACCAUUACACACAUAAAUAACUACAUACCCUAAACCCUAAACCCCUAAAAUCUUAGGAGACAUAAACCCAAAACCUAAACCUAAACCCUAAACCGUAAACCCUAAACCGAAUCACUAUAUACCCUAAACCCUAAACCCCUAAACCCUUAGGAGUCUAUAAACCCUAAACCCGUUAACCCUUAGGAGACCCUACACCCUAAACCCUUAGGAGAGAUAAACCCUAAACAUUAAACCUUGAACCCUAAACCCAAAUCCCAAAACCCUAAUCUCUAAACCCUUAUAUAAUCAUAAACGAUAAACACUAAACCCUUAUAUUACCCGUAUCCCAACCACCAUAACAAUCUAAAUAUAAGGCUAACUUCAUCUCCCAACAAGCUAUCGUUAGGCUUGGAUGAUCAAUAUGUUCUGUAGCCUGCUAAUCCAUAGCAUAACCGGGAAGCUUAAUACUUUAGCGCAUUAAUGCUAUUAGUAGACUUUAUACCUCAUUAAACGGCUAAACCUAAGUUUUUAGUAGGCAUUACAGUUAACCCUAGACCCCGGAGAGACUAUGAACCCCAAACCAUUACACCCUUAAAUAACUAUAUACCCUAAACCCUAAACCCUUAGGCGAUUAUAAACUCUAAACCCUAAACCCAAAAUCGUUAACCCUAUACCCUAAUCACUAUAUACCCUAAACCCUAAACCCGGAUCCCCAAACCCGAAUCACUAUAUACCCUAAACCUUAAACCCUUAAACCCUUAGGACUCUAUAAACCCUAAACCAUAAACCAUAAAUCUGUUAACCCAUAGGAGACCCUACACCUUAAACCCUUAAGAGAGCUUAAACCCUAAACACUAAACCCCGAACCCUAAACC
rnacentral:lncRNA from 1 species